UACGAAGGGGGGCUAGCGUUGUUCGGAAUUACUGGGCGUAAAGCGCACGUAGGCGGAUAUUUAAGUCAGGGGUGAAAUCCCAGAGCUCAACUCUGGAACUGCCUUUGAUACUGGGUAUCUUGAGUAUGGAAGAGGUAAGUGGAAUUGCGAGUGUAGAGGUGAAAUUCGUAGAUAUUCGCAGGAACACCAGUGGCGAAGGCGGCUUACUGGUCCAUAACUGACGCUGAGGUGCGAAAGCGUGGGGGAGCAAACAGG
rnacentral:rRNA from 1 species